UUAGUUUGGGAUUGAUUCCUGAGGUGCUUUUGGAGCUGCUUCUGCUUUUGGGCCAAGAACAUGGUGUUUGGUAAAAUCUCUAAAAGCUGCUUUUGGUUGAAAUUGCUUCUCCGUAAAGCUGAAUUUGGGAAGCUACAAUUUGUAGCUUUUGAAGACCUGCUUUGGGAAAACACGGAGCAUGAACAGUAGAGUUUAAUGAAAAUUUAGAGAACUGCCAAUUCUAUCCUCCUCCUUUUCUGAAAAUUACAUCGAAACAGAUUGGUCCAUCGCGAGGCAGACAUCUCAUUCAUAGCCUUCUUUGAUAUCACCCCAAAAUCCAAAACCCACAAUUGCUGCAUCAAAAUUCCAUUACAAAACCCACCCACCCAUUUUUAGUAUCUGAUUUUCGAAUCAUCUAUAUAUAAUUUUAUCCAAAGAAUCCAAAUUUUUACACUGGAUUUCCGAUUCCUGGGUGCCCCCUGUCUUUGUCCACCCACCAAGAUCAAUCUCUAUCUCUCUCUCCAUUCCACCUAAAGGUCAUGGCAUUCGAUGAAACGACUUAAUCUUGAUUGACGCGUCGUUGAUGAAUCCAGCAACAUCGUCGAUGAAUCCAGCAACAUUAGUGAUAGUUCUUGCAAUUUUACUUGCAUUUGGCAAAAGUCAUUUAAGUAUAGCAUUGCACCAGUAGAGAGAAAACUUUCUGUACAGCUUAUUUAUGUUACCAUUGUUCUUUCUCUGGGUGUUAUUUUGCUGGUUGGUCUUUCAGCCUUUUAUAUAGAUGGAAUUUACUCAUCGACGCCCUCAAACCCUGUUUAAGUUGAAGUAAGGUUUUGCUCAGCAAAGGCUUGUUUCAGAGUCUUGGCAAUGAUUUUAGACUUGGUCACUGUAAUCUGGGUUAUUUUUCAUGUAAGCUCUGCGGUUACACUCAUGUCCUCUACUUCGGUUUACAAUGAAGUCAACUCUCAUCUAUGCAACAGAUUUAAUGUUCUACUCAUCUACUGUACCAUAAAAGGGGUGGUUAUAUACUUAUAUGAACAAUGUUCUCUUUUACAAAAUUUCUGUGUAAUAUUCUUGUCAGAGUGAAUAUAUAUCAAGGUCAUGUAUGCAGACCUAAUUUACAAUGCUAA